UCCAGACUCCUACGGGAGGCAGCAGUGGGGAAUAUUGCACAAUGGGGGGAACCCUGAUGCAGCGACGCCGCGUGAGUGAAGAAGUAUUUCGGUAUGUAAAGCUCUAUCAGCAGGGAAGAAGAUGACGGUACCUGACUAAGAAGCCCCGGCUAACUACGUGCCAGCAGCCGCGGUAAUACGUAGGGGGCAAGCGUUAUCCGGAUUUACUGGGUGUAAAGGGAGCGUAGACGGCAGGGCAAGUCUGGAGUGAAAGCCCGGGGCCCAACCCCGGGACUGCUUUGGAAACUGCCAUGCUGGAGUGCUGGAGAGGUAAGCGGAAUUCCUAGUGUAGCGGUGAAAUGCGUAGAUAUUAGGAGGAACACCAGUGGCGAAGGCGGCUUACUGGACAGUAACUGACGUUGAGGCUCGAAAGCGUGGGGAGCAAACAGGAUUAGAUACCCUUGUACCG
rnacentral:rRNA from 1 species